rnacentral:piRNA from 1 species
UGAAGAGCGAGCGGGCCAGUGGGAGU